CCUGGGAGAUGAUGACACUAUCUAUUAUCAGAGCUUCAACGAUGUUGAACUGAUUAUUUGCACGUCAGUCUGAUCCCAAA
rfam:Morus notabilis contig21961, whole genome shotgun sequence.